rnacentral:rRNA from 1 species
GACGAACGCUGGCGGCGUGCCUAAUACAUGCAAGUAGAACGCUGAAGGAGGAGCUUGCUUCUCCGGAUGAGUUGCGAACGGGUGAGUAACGCGUAGGUAACCUGCCUGGUAGCGGGGGAUAACUAUUGGAAACGAUAGCUAAUACCGCAUAACAGUAGAUAUUGCAUGAUAUCUGCUUGAAAGGUGCAAUUGCAUCACUACCAGAUGGACCUGCGUUGUAUUAGCUAGUUGGUGAGGUAACGGCUCACCAAGGCGACGAUACAUAGCCGACCUGAGAGGGUGAUCGGCCACACUGGGACUGAGACACGGCCCAGACUCCUACGGGAGGCAGCAGUAGGGAAUCUUCGGCAAUAGACGGAAGUCUGACCGAGCAACGCCGCGUGAGUGAAGAAGGUUUUCGGAUCGUAAAGCUCUGUUGUAAGAGAAGAACGAGUGUGAGAGUGGAAAGUUCACACUGUGACGGUAUCUUACCAGAAAGGGACGGCUAACUACGUG